AUUGAACGCUGGCGGCAUGCCUUACACAUGCAAGUCGAACGGCAGCACGGUAGUAAUCCUGGUGGCGAGUGGCGAACGGGUGAGUAAAGCAUCGGAACGUGCCCAGUCGUGGGGGAUAACGUAGCGAAAGCUACGCUAAUACCGCAUACGAUCUGUGGAUGAAAGCGGGGGACCGUAAGGCCUCGCGCGAUUGGACCGGCCGAUGUCAGGUUGGGUAGUUGGUGAGGUAAAGGCUCACCAAGCCGACGAUCUGUAGCUGGUCUGAGAGGACGACCAGCCACACUGGGACUGAGAAACGGCCCAGACUCCUACGGGAGGCAGCAGUGGGGAAUUUUGGACAAUGGGCGCAAGCCUGACCCAGCAAUGCCGCGUGCAGGAUGAGGGCCUUCGGGUUGUAAACUGCUUUUGUACGGAGCGAAAAGGCUUCCACUAAUACUGGGGGCUCAUGACGGUACCGUAAGAAUAAGCACCGGCUAACUACGU
rnacentral:rRNA from 1 species